UAGGAGGAUUUGCUGAAAAUAAUAAUCCGGUCAGGUCUGAAAAGAAGCAGCCGUAACGAUAAUUUUUCAGGUUGUCCUCAGUCUC
rnacentral:SRP_RNA from 1 species